ensembl:lncRNA
AGCAGCAGCAGAGUCAACAGAGGACAAGAAGCCAGAGUAGAGUAACAGUAGCAGCAGCAGAGUCAACAGAGGACAAGAAGCCAGAGUAUAGUAACAGUAGCAGCAGCAGAGUCAACAGAGGACAAGAAGCCAGAGUAGAGUAACAGUAGCAGUAGCAGAGUCAACAGAGGACAAGAAGCCACAUAGAGUAACAGUAGCAGCAGCAGAGUCAACAGAGGACAAGAAGCCAGCAUAGAGUAACAGUAGCAGCAGCAGAGUCAACAGAGGACAAGAAGCCAGAGUAGAGUAACAGUAGCAGCAGCAGAGUCAACAGAGGACAAGAAGCCAGCAUAGAGUAACAGUAGCAGAGUCAACAGAGGACAAGAAGCCAGAGUAGAGUAACAGUAGCAGCAGCAGCAGAAGGAUGUGAGAUCAGACCCGGUCAGUUUAAUAGACCAACAGAAUAAGAUGGUGGUGAAUGAUACUAGUCUCUAAUUGGACACUCAGGUUUCCUUCCUGAACUGGCCUACUGUUCUUGUGUACUUAUCUGUUUACUAUCUGUAGAUUGUAUUGCUUGUCUUUUUCUAUGGAAUUUUGCCAAUUCCAGAUUUUUAAUAACAUAUUAAGUAUUGAUUUGUCUUAAUGACACAAAAAUUAAUUAUAUUGACAAGAGUUUUAAAUAUUUGUAUCUCUGGAGUUCCUGAUGUGUUAAAAUAUGUUUUACUUUGUAUUGCUGUCAGUCAUUACUGGUCAUUUUAUAUUUUAUAUUAUGUAAUACCAUAUUGUUCAGUGUUAUGAUAUUGCUUGUUUUAUUUUCAAAUUAUUAAUGAUUCAUUAGUACAUUUAUUUGAGAUACAUUGAAUACAGUAUAAGCAUCAUGUUGUAAAUAAGCUCAAAUGUAGACAAUAAAUAGACAACAAAUAAAUUGAUUGUUUGACUAACAUGCAUUGAUUCAUAACUAAAUCCAUUCUGCUCGUUUCUUGUAUUUCUACCUAUUGGACACAUGAUGGAACC